UUAUUGUAGAUUGUCACAUGAUUAGAGCUGUUUACUUCCUGGUUGCACCAUGAGAAGAGGAUGGCUGCAUCAAAGCUCUCAAACAAAAGUUUCACUUUGAGUCAAGUUCUGGAUAUGUUGGAUUUUGGUGACCGCCCACACAAGGCGUGCAACAUUGCAGUUAUCCCUCAGAGAUUAUGAUAGCACCGGUUCCAGAGAUGUUAUCAUUGUGACAAACGCACUACCUAUGCAUGUGAGAAAUGCAAAGUGCCACUGCACAUUGAGUGCUUCAAGAUAUACCAUGGACAGUAGAAAAGGAGAUAAGGGCUGAAAAAGCCAAUAAAAGAAAAAUAGAACAGUCAAUAAAGGGUGAGGAGAAGCAGUACAACGGACUCUAGAAAGAAAAGUUGAUGAAAAAAGGAAAAAUAAUCAAAAUGACUGAAAUGUUUUUGGAAAAGAUAAUCAAUUGAUUCAAGACCUACUGUAUGAAAGUAGGUCUGACUGAUCGUAGUUCAAAAUAGUGAUUCACAGACUAAUUGUGCACUUGGUUCUGAAGCCAACCUCUGAUAUAGAUGUAUAUGUAUACGUGUGUUUGAAUAUAUAUAUACACACACACACAGUUGAAAUCAGGAGUUUACAUACACCUUAGCCAAAUACAUUUAAACUCAGUUUUUCACAAUUCCUGACAUUAAAUCCAAGUAAAAAUUACCUGUCUUAGGUCAGUUAGGAUCAUCACUUUAUUUUAAGAAUGUGAAAUGUCAGAAUAAUAGUAGAGAGAAUGAUUUAUUUCAGCUUUGAUUUCUUUCAUCACAUUCCCAGUGGGUCAGAAGUUUACAUACACUCAAUUAGUAUUUGUUAGCAUUGCCUUUAAAUUGUUUAACUUGGGUCAAACGUUUCAGGUAGCCUUCCGCAAGCUUCCCACAAUAAGUUGGGUGAAUUUUGGCCCAUUCCUAUUGACAGAGCUGGUGUAACUGAGUCAGGUUUGUAGUCCUCCUUGCUCGCACACGCUUUUUCAGUUCUGCCCACAAAUAUUCUAUAGGAUUGAGGUCAGGGCUUUGUGAUGGCCACUCCAAUACCUUGACUUUCUUGUCCUUAAGCCAUUUUGCCACAACUUUGGAAGUAUGCUUGGGGUCAUUGUCCAUUUGGAAGACCCAUUUGCGACCAAGCUUUAACUUCCUGACUGAUGUCUUGAGAUGUUGCUUCAAUAUAUCCACAUAAUUUUCCAUCCUCAUGAUGCCAUCUAUUUUGUGAAGUGCACCAGUCCCUCCUGCAGCAAAGCACCACCACAACAUGAUGGUGCCACCCCUGCGCUUCACGGUUGGAUGGUGUUCUUCGGCUUGCAAGCAUCCCCCUUUUUCCUCCAAACAUAACGAUGGUCAUUAUGGCCAAACAGAUCUAUUUUUGUUUCAUCAGACCAGAGGACAUUUCUCAAAAAGUACGAUCUUUGUCCCAAUAUGCAGUUGCAAACCGUAAUCUGGCUUUUUUUAUGGCGGUUUUGGAGCAGUGGCUUCUUCCUUGCUGAGCGGCCUUUCAGGUUAUGUCGAAAUUUGACUCUUUUUUUUACUGUGGAUAUAGAUACUUUUGUACCUGUUUCCUCCAACACUUUCACAAGGUCCUUUGCUGUUGUUCUGGGAUUUAUUUGCACUUUUCACACCAAAGUACGUUCAUCUCUAGGAGACAGAACGUGUCUCCUUCCUGAGCGGUAUGACGGCUGCGUGGUCCCAUGGUGUUUAUACUUGCGUACUAUUGUUUGUACAGAUGAAUGUGGUACCUUCAGGCAUUUGAAAAUUGCUCCCAAGGAUGAUCCAGACUUGUGGAGGUCAAAAAAAAAAAAUCUGGGGUUUUGACUGAUUUCUUUUGAUUUUACCAUGAUGUCAAGCAAAUAGGCACUGAGUUUGAAGGUAGGCCUUGAAAUAGAUCCACAGGUAUACCUCCAAUUUACUCAAAUUAUGUCAAUUAGCCUAUCAGAAGCUUCUAAAGCCAUGGCAUCCUUUUCUGGAAUUUUCCAAGCUGUUUCAAGGCACAGUCAGUGAAUUAUAAGUGAAAUAAUCUGUCUGUAAACAAUUGUUGGAAAAAUUACUUGUGUCAUGCACAAAGUAUAUGUCCUAACCGACAAGACACCCCCCAAAACAGGUGUGAUUCCGUUUGAGCAGACACAUGCACAUUUGUGGCCUGCUGGAGGUCAUUUUGCAGGGCUCUGGCAGUGCACCUCCUUGCACUAAGGCGGAGGUAGCGGUCCUGCUGCUGGGUUGUUUCCCUCCUACGGCCUCCUCCACGUCUCCUGAUGUACUGGCCUGUCUCCUGGUAGCGCCUGCAUGCUCUGGACACUAUGCUGACAGACACAGCAAACUUUUUUGCCACAGUUCGCAUUGAUGUGCCAUCCUGGAUGAACUGCACUACCUGAGCCACUUGUGUGGGUUGUAGACUCCGUCUCAUGCUACCACUAGAGUGAGAGCACCGCCAGCAUUCAAAAGUGACCAAAACAUCAGCCAGGAAGCAUAGGAACUGAGAAGUGGUCUGUGGUCACCACCUGCAGAAUCACACCUGUUUUGGGGGGUGUCUUGCUAAUUGCCUAUAAUUUCCACCUUUUGUCUAUUCCAUUUGCACAACAGCAUGUGAAAUUGAUUGUCAAUCAGUGUUGCUUCCUAAGUGGACAGUUUGAUUUCACAGAAGUGUGAUUGACUUGGAGUUACAUUGUGUUGUUUAAGUGUUCCCUUUAUUUUUUUGAGCAGUGUAUUUCAAUUUACUGAUUUCCUUAUAUGAACCGUAACUCAGUGAAAAUGUUGCAUGUUGCGUUCAUAUUUUUGUUCAGUAUAUAAUGUAUUUUCUGUAUUACCCUGGUGGAACCUUAAUUGGGGAAGGUGAGCUCAUGGUAAGGGCUGGAGCAGUAUCAGUGGAAUAGUAUCUAAUAAAUCAAACACAUUGUUUCAAUGUAUUUGAUUCUGUUCCAGACAUUAUUAUGAGCCAUCCUCCCCUCAGCAGCCUCCUGUGGUUGUUUGUAUACGAUAUGUUGUAUACUCGGUUUGUUUUUUCUAUAUUGUAGAAUUGCUUUACAAUAAAUAAAUAAAUUUUUAAAAAAGGUAUAAAAGAACACCUAUGACCAGUCAUGCAAGUAUGAUGUCCUGACGAAUGAUGUAUUUUAACCCUGGAUUGCUGAUGCUAUGUGUUGAACAAGGUAGGAGAUUCGAUUAAUCUGGUUUGGGCGCCCAGGUAAGCGUGUUUUGCACCGGGUGAAAAUUGAACAGGACUGCAGUCCAGGCCAAAUGAUUAGCCAAGCAAGGGAAGUUUGCAAUGUAAGCCCCCCAGUCCUAUGAUAGAAAUAAGCUGAAACAUUUUUAUGUAAUUAAUUUCAUUAUUCUUUUGGACAAAUUUCAUAUUCACAAAUGUAAAUUUACAAACAAAACACCACAUUUUCUUACCUUACAAAAAUAAAUUGAACUUUAUUUUAAGACAACUAAAUACUCUACUAAAAAAUUAGUUAGAAUAAUGAGUGUAUGUAUGUCCCUUAAGGUCCUUGUGUAAUGUGAUAUUGUACCCCCUAGCCCAAUUGUCCUUUGUAUAUUAUUUAUAUAUACUUGUGUUCCCACAUGUCCUUCCUGUAUUGAUUUGUUGUUAAUAAAAUAAAAUACAAAUGUAAAAAGUAA